rnacentral:lncRNA from 1 species
GCGAGGGAGACACUGUUCGAUUGGCGGAGAUCGUGGGAUUGAUCAGUUCGAGACGUCUAUUGGCUAUGCUUCAUGAUUUCAAUUCAUUUUACUUUUCGUUGAUUCGAUGAGGAUUUCACUUUAGACCUUCUUUAAUGUUUACACUAGAGACUUUUUAGAUCGAAAGUUGAGAAGAAAUUGUCUGGACAUAGGCUUUGGCGGGGUCGAGGCCCAAAGUUUCGUGGGGUCCAAUUCGCCACUCCAUGGACUCUCUGUAGAUAAUCUUGUUAAAAAAGUCACAAUGAU